rnacentral:tRNA from 1 species
GCUAUCGUGGCUCAGUUGGCAGAGCAGCUGAUUCGUAAUCAGCAGGUCGGCGGUUCAAAUCCGCCCGAUAGCUCCA